rnacentral:misc_RNA from 1 species
GUGAAUCAUCAAAUUUUUGAACGCAAAUUGCGCCUUUUUCGGUUGGCAUGUCUGUUUGUGUUCACGAUUUAACAAAUCAUGUACAUUUCGUGUGCACACGUUGAUGAGUUUUCCAUAAUUAUGUAUUAUUAUUUUUGGUGGCGCAUAAUAAACAGCGCGAUGCUUUUUUUCAGUUCGAGUGUAGUAAAAUUUUUUCUUGCUUGGGUUGUGAGAAGCGUGAUCACGCAAUGGUUGUGGCGAUUCUACUAACUCUGCCCCAACGC